GUGCUGGCUUUGGCAGCACAUAUAUUAAAAUUGGAACGAUACAGAGAUUAGCAUGGCCCCUGCGCAAGGAUGACAAGCAAAUUCGCGAAGCAUUCCAUGUUUUG
ensembl:snRNA U6 U6 spliceosomal RNA